GGCGGCAUGCCUAACACAUGCAAGUCGAACGGCAGCACAGCAGAGCUUGCUCUGUGGGUGGCGAGUGGCGGACGGGUGAGUAAUGCAUCGGGACCUACCUSAACGUGGGGGAUAACGUAGGGAAACUUACGCUAAUACCGCAUACGUCCUACGGGAGAAAGCRGGGGACCUUCGGGCCUCGCGCGGUCAGACGGACCGAUGUUCGAUUAGCUAGUUGGUAAGGUAAUGGCUUACCAAGGCGACGAUCGAUAGCUGGUCUGAGAGGAUGAUCAGCCACACUGGAACUGAGACACGGUCCAGACUCCUACGGGAGGCAGCAGUGGGGAAUAUUGGACAAUGGGCGCAAGCCUGAUCCAGCAAUGCCGCGUGUGUGAAGAAGGCCUUCGGGUUGUAAAGCACUUUUAUCAGGAACGAAAUACYAYUGGUUAAUAACCGGUGGGGCUGACGGUACCUGAGG
rnacentral:rRNA from 1 species